ensembl:lncRNA
CUCUUCCUCCUUUCCUACCAUUUUGACACAUUUUCAUAUAACCAAAUAUUUCAGGUGCUGUCUCAUUAAGAACAGUAGCACUACAUCAAUAGAUGUUAUCACAGUCCUCUCUGUGUCAAUAGAUGUAACCACAGUCCUUGCAGGUGGCUCUGUGCACCAUGAAACUUAAAAUGGAAUCUUAGUUUCACUUUACAAAUGUCCUGUUUCUUAAACAUAAUGACAUGGUGGUGAGGAAUGAGGAAACAGAUGCAGGAGAAGUUGAUGGAACACAAGGGAAUUAUGUGUCAAUCCAGGGAAUGUUUCUCUGCUUACAGAUGAAAAACGAUAAAUAACACAAGUAAACUAGCUGUAUAAAGCAGGCAUAUGAGGAAGCACUGUGGCUAAGGCUACUACAUAAGCGGACAUACAAGCUGACACUUGACAUUAAACAAUUCUGAACAGAGAGAGAGGCAACAGGGAAUCUAUAUAGAUGUGGUGGUGAGACAAUAGGGAACAGGUGUGCGUAAUAGAACAAGACAAUAAAAGGAAGUGUUAAAAUGCAGCAGGGAAACUGGACGAUGACCGCUAGAAGGCCGUCGACGCAGAACAAUAUGGCUGUGAUGUGAACUGGGAUACGUGGUCAUAAGCAGAUCUGUGACACAUACCUUCCAUUUAACACAUCUGUACUUUCACUUUUGUUUCGGUUCAACUCCCGUGUGAUUGGCUAUCAUCUUCUACAUAAAGGAGAAACGGCACUCACUUAAGCUACUUUUUGUCUUUCGGACCGAACAUUUAUGUUAACUACCAGUUUGGAAUCUAUUUUACCAUAUAUCCUUUGUUCACAGGUACCCACACUAAAUUAGCAUUCAAACCAUGGAAUUUCUGGAGUCAACAAAGACGGACCUGUGCCAGUGGUUAUCAACAGAUGCUCAGUAUAUCAUUGACAAGUGUCAAGAUAUUUUAUCCUUUAAACAAGGAAAGGCUGUGUGCAACCAAGACACUGAUGAAAAGAAGAUCAGCAUGCUGUUGAAAUUUAUCAUGGAAAUGGGAGAGGAAACAUGUGAGGAGUUCCAUGAGAUUCUGAAAAAAGAGAAGAAGCAAUACCCGAGCCUUGAACAGCAUUUCAGCAAGACCAUGGAUGGUCCAACAGUGUAUGCGGAUUGCAACAGCAUCGUUGACACCCGAAAAGUCACCAACGUCCAUGUUAAAAAAGACUUAAAUAUGGAUGCAACUGUUCAAGCAGGAGGGAUGAAUCCAUCUGGAUUCAACCACAGCCAACCACCCCCACGUGCAAAUAUGGUUGCAACCAAUAACAGUAAUAUAAUUUCACCAGGAAUAUCAAACUGUAUAGUUGAUGGAGACCUCAAUAUGUCUUUAAGACAGGCCCCACCCCACAAUGCCCCACACUGUCCAGGACCUUCUGAGUCAAAGGAGAGUAAAUUAACCUCAACAUGUUCCAUUGCAGACAUACCUGAGUUUUUGCAAAGAAACCGCUCGGAUUUGAUCAAUAAAGUUAAAAACGUGAUGGCCAUUUUAGAUACCAUGCAGAGCACAGUGUAUCCAAAGGAACUGGCCGCCAACGUUAAAGCCCAGCCGACAGAACAAAAAAUGAUGCGGGAGAUUCUGGACACUGUGACGACCCCCGUGGCCAUGAAGGCCCUGAUAGAAGCCCUUUUUCUUCAUCAGAAGGAUGUCAUGGGUUACCUGACCUGAUGGAUGAAGAAGCUUGACAUGUUCAAUUAAUGUUUUAUUCAUGCUUGUGCAGCCGUGCAGGUGUUGGUGUUGGGGAUGUUUUCACGUUUAAAGAAAAUAUCCCCUUUAAGGGACCUUUUCGUUUAACACUUUACAAUAAGGGGACAUUCAUUGUCAUAGGUUAAUAUAGUAAUUAACGUCAACUAACAGCAAGUUAUAAGUCUUCAUAAACAUUUAUUUAUCUUUGUUAAUAUCAACCAAGGGGAUAAUAAAUAUGAACUUUAGUAAUUGUUUUAGUGAAAAUCAAUUGACAGUAAUGAGCUUCACGAAGUGAUUGUUCUUGUAUAUUCAUGUUUAUGUAUACAUACAUUAAUCAACAACUGGAUUCUACAUUUCUAAGCUUGUUUUCUGCUUCUGAAAUAUAAAUGACUUGCUUGUCCUCUUGGGUGAAAUUUUUUUGAAAACAUGUUGGGAACAUAAUCUUAAAUGCUUGUGUGCGCUUACUGUGACAUUACUAAAUAGUGUGGGAACAUUUACUGAAUGUAUUGUAUGCAUGGCCCUUAUGGCAUACUGGUCUAGAAACAAAUGUUUUACUAAGGUUUGCAGGCUCUUCAUUAGCAUUACUUAAUAGUAAAAAACAUUAAUUGAAAGCAUUAGUGACCCUUAUUAUCGGAUAAAAUAUCUUCACACUUGUCAAUGAUAUACUGAGCACACGUUGAUAACCACUGGCACAGGUCCGUCUUUGUUGACUGAUUUAAAUGUCUAAUACUCAGUACGUUAAAGGUUUUGAUUCAAGAGGUAUGACGCAUAGAUUGAACAACUCAACUACAAGCAUGAAUUCUUAUUUUAUUAAAGAGGGGAAAACAACUAUUAUCUUCGACAAUGAAAAAUAAAUCACAGUUCCCUCAGAAGUGACCUUAGAACUGUGAGCACUAAUCUCAUUAAAAGGUUAAUUUAAUAGUUGGCUCAAAAGUAU